UACGUAGGUGGCAAGCGUUGUCCGGAUUUACUGGGCGUAAAGAGCGCGCAGGCGGUCGUUUAAGUCGAAUGUGAAAGCCCCCGGCUCAACUGGGGAGGGUCAUUCGAUACUGAUCGACUUGAAGGCAGGAGAGGGAAGUGGAAUUCCGGGUGUAGUGGUGAAAUGCGUAGAUAUCCGGAGGAACACCAGUGGCGAAGGCGACUUCCUGGCCUGUUCUUGACGCUGAGGCGCGAAAGCCAGGGGAGCAAACGGG
rnacentral:rRNA from 1 species